UAAUCACUGAGACUCACAAUCGUGGAAACUCAUCAUCAUCAACACAGCUAGUGGAAAGCCUUGUACAAAACGCUGGUACCCCUUCUGCAUUUCAGCACCUGUCGGACGCUGCUCUUGCAUGGAUUGGAAGGCUGAACUCUCAUGACGAGACCUUGACGAGAAUGUCAUCAUCUUCUACCACUGAUAAUACUCAUCACAGGCCAUUACGAGCUUCUGCUAUUGCUGAGACCUAUAAUUUGCCUACUUAUUUUGCUGAUGAUUCAAGAAGGCUUAGAAGAGAGCCUCUGGAAGACGGGCAGCGAGUGACGAACCCCGAUGUAGGACUGACGGAAACUGAGGUUGCAGCAUGUUUUGGACGGGAAAUUUUUUAAACUGUUGGUGAGCAGCCUCAGAACAUUGAUGCAUGCGGCAUAUGUCUGGAGGACUAUGUUCACGGUGAAGAGCUUGGGAGAUUGGAUUGUGCGCACAAAUAUCACCUUUCUUGCAUCAGGCAGUGGUUGCUUAUCAAGAACAGAUGGCCCGUUUGCAAGAAAAUGGCUCUCACCAUCAUAGACUU